GUAGGGAAUAUUGCGCAAUGGACGAAAGUCUGACGCAGCGACGCCGCGUGAGUGAUGAAGGCCUUAGGGUCGUAAAGCUCUGUUGAAUGGGAAGAAAAAAAUGACGGUACCAUUCGAGGAAGGACCGGCUAACUUCGUGCCAGCAGCCGCGGUAAUACGAGGGGUCCUAGCGUUGUUCGGAAUCAUUGGGCGUAAAGGGUGUGUAGGUGGCCAUGUAAGUCAGGUGUGAAAGCCCCGGGCUAAACCCGGGAAGUGCACUUGAUACUGCGGGGCUGGAGUACCGAAGAGGGUAGUGGAAUUCCAGGUGUAGUGGUGAAAUACGUAGAUAUCUGGAGGAACACCGGUGGCGAAGGCGGCUACCUGGUCGAGUACUGACACUGAGACACGAAAGCAUGGGGAUCAAACAGGAUUAGAUACCCUUGUAGUCC
rnacentral:rRNA from 1 species